rnacentral:lncRNA from 1 species
CGGCGUGCACGCCCACCAACGACGCGGGCGGAUUCUGCUGUCCUCCGAGAUCCGAGGCGGCGCGCUCAAGGACCUCGCCGGCCAACCGCGGCGACACACCCACAAGCGACACCAUGGCCUUGGACACGAGUGCCGCGCCCGGCGGCUCGGGUCCGCCAUCAAACAUGGAUGGCGGUCUCUGGUCGUUGUCGCCUCUAUGGCCCGCGCCCCAGUCGCCAUCGCCGCCAAUCGUGGGAUCAAAAACGCUCGGGUUACGCAUGGCGAGUGCGCGGCCAAAUGACGCAAACCCACCGUCGACGCCGACGAGAGCAUGUUGCGUGGCGGCGCGUGCAUCGGCCGCGGUGGCAUAUGGGCCGCCGUUGCCUCGGGUCCUCGGGAAAUAGGCCUCGGCAUCGUUGGGCCACACGACUACAUUGACUACCGUUGGGGCGUCUGCCAACAAUGACAACUCGUGAUCGUUGUCAUAAUGGUCGUCGUCGUGUCGCUCGACACGGUACACCGAGACCCAGGCGGUGGCGUCGGGUCCUGUUUCGACAGAGGGCCACAGCACGACGAGGUAGAGCGCGCUCGGAUUGCGCCACGGUGCACAGUCGGCGGCCGUGUCCCAUCCGGCAAAGGGGUCGGGAAAUCGGCCGUGCACGGCGGCAGCGAUCGCCGCGGCCAACUCAUUGGCCGCGUAUGUGGGGCGGUCCGCGAGGGCGUCACGGAGGUGUUGCGCAAAAGAGGCGAGCACACCGAGACCCGGUCCCUCGACGCGCCCCGUUGCGUACCAUAGAACCUCGAUGAGGCGCUCCACGAGGCUGCCGGUUGCGGUGACCUGCCCGUUGGCCAUGAGCCGCUCGACCUCGGCGCGCGCAGUGGGGUGGGCAUCGAGAGCGGCGAUCCACACGGGAUCGGCACCGCGCAGUGGCGACACUGUGUCUGCGUCGGCCAUUUCGGUGUCGUUGCCCUGUGGGCGGACCGCUCACGGCGUCUGGCGUGGCCGGGGCCUUGUUUGGGAAGGGGCAUGCGCGCGUCCCGUCGCUCAUCCAGAAAAAAAAAGUUGGCCACGCGCCGUCGAGACCAAUGCCCAACAACGGAAAAAAAAGAGUGCCCUUUGCAUCAGGGUCCAUGUGGGUCUCCAAAGCAUUCCGGCGCCGGUGGGCCACAAGAAAAAAAAGAGUUGCGGCCCCAUUGUCGGUCCUUUAAUUUUUUUAACCUUGUCCUUUUUUCUGUUUUCUUUUCUAUGAUGGCAAAGAAAAAAAGCGCGGAAAACAUGCUCCCAGACGGCGAGGGCCAAAAAAAAAAAGGUCAAGGCCUUUGUUGACGAUGCCUUUUUUUGCGUGUGCACUCGCGCACCGCGCCGCCAACAGCCAAAGAAAAGAGCG